GCCCGCUUGGCUCAAUGGUAGAGCGCAUCACUAGUACCUUUCUUUCUUUCCUCACUAAACUGAGGAAAACUGAAACAGCUAUGUUAAAAAUAACUUGACUGGCUAAAUGAUGAGGUCAUCAGUUCGAUUCUAAUAGUGGGCA